UGCUGUUAGUGAUGAUUUAAAAAAAAUUAAAAACAGAUGGGAAUCUCUCUGAAAAAGAAUGAAGAUUUUUAAAUACUGAAACAGUA